AUUGAACGCUGGCGGAAUGCUUUACACAUGCAAGUCGAACGGCAGCACGGGGCAACCUGGUGGCGAGUGGCGAACGGGUGAGUAAUACAUCGGAACGUGCCCAAUCGUGGGGGAUAACGUAGCGAAAGUUACGCUAAUACCGCAUACGAUCUACGGAUGAAAGCGGGGGAUCGCAAGACCUCGCGCGAGUGGAGCGGCCGAUGUCAGAUUAGGUAGUUGGUGGGGUAAAGGCUCACCAAGCCAACGAUCUGUAGCUGGUCUGAGAGGACGACCAGCCACACUGGAACUGAGACACGGUCCAGACUCCUACGGGAGGCAGCAGUGGGGAAUUUGGACAAUGGGCGCAAGCCUGAUCCAGCCAUUCCGCGUGCAGGAUGAAGGCCUUCGGGUUGUAAACUGCUUUUGUACGGAACGAAACGGCGAGGCUCUAAUACAGUUUGCUAAUGACGGUACCGUAAGAAUAAGCACCGGCUAACUACGUGCCAGCAGCCGCGGUAAGA
rnacentral:rRNA from 1 species